GUCAGGAUGGCUGAGUGGUCGAAGGCGCUGUGUUUAGGUCGCAGUCUCCUGGAGGUGUGGGUUCAAAUCCCACUCCUGACA
rnacentral:tRNA from 1 species